CACCAACCUUCCCUCGGCCGAAGGUUGCACUCGUGAGUGAACAGUUCAAGCUCCUCUGUGACUUCUGCAGGGAGCUGUCGCUGUGUCUCUGCUUCGAUUUAUCAAAGCAGCUGUUAGGGGCGUCCCUCACCUCCCUGUUUGGGGGCUGCCUGUUCUGCAGGAGCGAGAACCUCCCCUCCUCAGUUUUAGGCUAGGUGUAGACCAGAUAAAGGUUGCUUGCAGAGCUUCAUAUUCUCCACUUGUCUUUUCUUGCUUGCCUCCUCCCCUGCCAACUCUGUAGACCAAUAUCAGGGUCUUGCUGUGUACCUAGACUGGCUUAGAACUUAAGAUCUUCCUUCCUCCUUCUCCCAAGUGCUGUGAUUACAGGCAUGUACCACCAUGCCUGGCUGACAUCUUUUGUUUAAGCAACUAGAUUUCUUUCACAUGGAACAUAAAGAGCCUGAACUGACAUAUUUUUUGAGCUUGGGACAAUUGAGAGUAUUAGUGGUGGUGAUGAGGGUCAGAAGAGGAGGGAAAGAUGGUAAGAGAGGAAGAAUGUGGACUCCUGGAGAGCCAAGAACUGGAGGCAGAAGACCCAGGUCCACCAGAGACCAUCUUCCAUGGCUGGAUUUGCACCCAACACCUUACCAUCCACAGCUACAUCACCAUCAAAAACCGUCUCCUCUGGCUUCAACCUAGCUUUAUGUCAUCCUUUCCUUUUUUCUCAUUUCACAAGAUAUAAACAAUGUAUAACUUUAAAAGUUUUCUCUAAAUUUGUCUCAGCCAUUAUGGAGGUUACUUUCACUCCUCCUACUCCAUGUCCAGCUCCUGUCUCCUCUCUUGGACUGGCCAUACAGAUUGUUAGGUCCCUGGCAUUCUUGGGGUGGGUGGAAGGACCCGAGGCUACACCUUAAAACCAGACCCCGAUUUAUGACUGCUUGUUUCUCCCUGCCUGAUUG